AGACCCGAAACCCGGUGAUCUAGCCAUGGGCAGGUUGAAGGUUGGGUAACACUAACUGGAGGACCGAACCGACUAAUGUUGAAAAAUUAGCGGAUGACUUGUGGCUGGGGGUGAAAGGCCAAUCAAACCGGGAGAUAGCUGGUUCUCCCCGAAAGCUAUUUAGGUAGCGCCUCGUGAAUUCAUCUCCGGGGGUAGAGCACUGUUUCGGCAAGGGGGUCAUCCCGACUUACCAACCCGAUGCAAACUGCGAAUACCGGAGAAUGUUAUCACGGGAGACACACGGCGGGUGCUAACGUCCGUCGUGAAGAGGGAAACAACCCAGACCGCCAGCUAAGGUCCCAAAGUCAUGGUUAAGUGGGAAACGAUGUGGGAAGGCCCAGACAGCCAGGAUGUUGGCUUAGAAGCAGCCAUCAUUUAAAGAAAGCGUAAUAGCUCACUGGUCGAGUCGGCCUGCGCGGAAGAUGUAACGGGGCUAAACCAUGCACCGAAGCUGCGGCAGCGACACUGUGUGUUGUUGGGUAGGGGAGCGUUCUGUAAGCCUGUGAAGGUGUGCU
rnacentral:rRNA from 1 species